GCAAGAUGCUCAGUUGGUUAGAGUGUGGUGCUGAUAACACCAAGGUUCCAAGUUCAAUCCCUGUAUAGAGAGCUGCA